rnacentral:lncRNA from 1 species
UGUACUCUCUUACGUCAAUCAUCCGUACCAUGAUCACUAUAGAGGAAAGCAACUUAAUUUAGUGAAUGAAGGGACCGUAUCUGCAUUAGCAUUUUGACAUUGCUCUGAAAAUGUUCUCUCCCUGUUUUUUUUCAGAGCCUGGUCAAGAUCCUUUUGCUAAGAGACAAGAAGAAAAGAAGAAGAGAGUAGAAAAGCAACAGAAAAAUCGAUUAAGUAACUUAAAGGAAGCUGCAAAAGCUGGUGCCUUGCCAAGGUCUUGUCCAUCUAAAUUUCUCAUUGUUUUUCUGCCAAAACUUUAAUUCUUUAUUAAUUCCUGCCAUCUAUGAAGAUUAAUUAGGUUUGUUGUUCCAUGUCUCAAAUCCUUUGUUUUGAUGACUAGCUAUUGAGUAUCUUAUUGCUUAGCAGAUUUCAUUCAAGAAAAUUGUCAACCUCUGUUUCAAUUGUCUUGAACCUUGCAUCUACCUUAUUCUCUUAAAGUCAUGUUGUUGAUAAACGAAGAUGUGUUUCUAUUUGCAGUCACGUUCAGCUUGCUGCCACAGCACUGCCUAUAACAGGAACACAAGCUGCACCGAGGAAAAUUAGCAAGGAUGAACUCGGCAAUGUCGCUGGAAUGGCAGCAAAUGCAACAGCUAGUGGCGGAAAAUUUGACAAGAAGUUGCCUGGGGAAAAACCCCCAAAACAUGAUAAGAAGUACCGUAAGGUUUGUAUUAUGGAAAGUGCAUGCAUAAAUUUGCUUAGGACUAACCUGAUUGUAUUGUCUAAGUCAACUCUACUCUUGUGUAUAACCAGUUCCUACCAGUUGCAGAAGGAUCAGGAAUGGGCUCCUUAGAGAAACAGAAGUCACCUAUACCACAGGCUGUAAACAUGUACAAUGUGAAAAAGGACAAGAACCGAAGGAACCAAGGAGGGAAAUCGUCAUCAACUCCAAGCAAGUUGAAAGUGAAGAAGUCACCUUACAAGAAAACAUCAUCAAAAGGGCCUGCUUCAAUUAAAGGAAAAUCCAAGUGACUUUGAAAUUUCCUCAUUGCAGUGUCAGUUUAAAGUUUUGAUAGGUAGUAACAAGUAGACAAGUAGUGUAAGCUUAAUCGGUUCAAUUGCUUAUUCUUCUUUUUCACCAGCAAGAAAGUGUAUAAGCUUCCUGCCACACCCAAAUUAUUUUUCCUUUUUUUUUUGGGAUUCAACAACAAAUUCCUAAAUUUUGUCUCAUAUCGCAUAUAGUAAGUGAUGUGGAAAAGUGCAGUAGAGGGAGUAUUUCUUUCUGGUUUGACAUCAUAUGAUGCGAUACAGGAACUUGUCUAUUGUGGCAGUUGCCAUUUGGAGGAGCAAAAAUCUGAUUAUUUUGUGUUGAUAGAGGGAAAAAAAUAUCAAUUGUCUAAUUUCUGUUCCAAUGAUACUGUGAAGAGAUUCUUGAAAAAGGAGACAAUACACUUUAAUGAGAAAAAUUACCUGCAACAACAACAACAACAACGGCCCAGUAUAAUCUCACAAGUGGGGUUUGAGGAGGGUAAUAUGCAGGCAGACCUUACCCCUACCCCGAGGGGCAG